CCUACGGGUGGCAGCAGUGGGGAAUAUUGCACAAUGGGGGAAACCCUGAUGCAGCGACGCCGCGUGAGCGAGGAAGUCUUUCGGUAUGUAAAGCUCUAUCAGCAGGGACGAAAAACGACGUUACCUGACUACGUAGCCCCGGCUAACUACGUGCCAGCAGCCUCGGUCAUACGUAGGGGGCAAGCUUUAUCCGGAUUUACUGGGUGUAAAGGGAGCGUAGACGGCAAGGCAAGCCAGAAGUGAAAGGGCAGGGCUCAACCCUGUACAUGCUUGUGGAACUGGGGUGCUAGAGUGCAGGGGAGGUAAGUGGAAUUCGUAGUGUAGCGGUGAAAUGCGUAGAUAUGAGGAGGAACACCAGUGGCGAAGGCGGCUUACUGGAGUGGAACUGACGUUGAGGCUCGAAAGCGUGGGGAGCAAACAGGAUUAGAUACCCGUGUAGUC
rnacentral:rRNA from 1 species